rnacentral:misc_RNA from 1 species
GCCAUGGUUGUCCAUAGCAACAAGUUUAUUCCUCAUUGAUUCCUGAUUGAUUGUAUUUCUCCAUAGCGUGGAGUACUGGGCUGGAGUGACUAUCUUUUUCGUUUUAUUUAAUUGCAGAACCAACAGUUAGUGUAAGAUCUGCUGUAUCCAAACAGCUCCAUUCUAGCCGAACCAGUUCAUUUCUUCUCCAAGCAGUCACCACAGGAAAACAUCAUAACUGCACAACAUCUGGGACAUUCCUCAGAGAAGAAAACUUUUGUCAUAAGAUUAAAACCAAUGAUUAUCUGAACUGUCAACAUUCCACAUGGCUGCUAAGAAGAAAGAUGAUACUCAAGAUACUGCAUAUUACAGGCGGAACUGUCAGACAACCUAUGGAUGGUAUGGCUCACCUGGUUCAAAUUCUUUAGGCCGUGCUGGACGUUCAUCUCGACGUAACUGUGACCGGUUUAAUGAAAAAAAGUUACCCCGUCCGGAAUCAUCAAAUUAUAUUUAUGAAGGAGGACUUUUCUCACAACCAUGUUCACCCCGACGGGAUUAUUUUGUAAUACACCCUGAAUGGGUAUCUGAGGGGGCGACUCAUGUAAGACUGAACAGAGACAAGAAAAACCGAACUGGUACUUGGCCAGGUCGGCGUUGUCGUAGUGCCCCACCCCCAACUUAUCGGAAUCCAAUAACUUGGGAACCAAAUUAAUGUCUAGUGUAAUAAUAGCAAAUGUCUUUGGAUUCUUUUUUUUAAAUGUUUUUUUUAAUUUGUUUCUUUUGCAAAAAAGAAAACAAAAUGAAAAAAAGAAAAUUCAGGCUGAGCUUCUAAGAAAGGGUGGAAUUAAACAAAUAUACAACAUGACUUGUAAGAAAACUGUAAGGUAAAGUCAAAUACACACAACAUAAAUUUUAAGAAA